GUGAGCAUGCUCAUUAGCUACGAAUGUGGUACCAAAAUGGAAAACAGGCGGAGGAGGGCAUUUUAAUUAACUAAUGAGGGUUGUUAGGGUGGGGAGAAUAUUGAUUCAAAGGACAGGUGACAGCAGGGUGAGGAAGUGCCGGAGGAGUUGCUGGGAACUGAAUGAAGUUCAGUGGCAGUGAGGGCAAACGCAGAAUAACGCAUGUUCUGUAGAAGGGAAGGAAACAGCACAAUAACAGGCGGGGCGGGGGAAGACUGCAAAAUCAGAGAAAGAUCCUGAGCCUCAAAAACGGAACGUGGCCUGGAUGUCUCAGUUCGAGAGUCCUGACUGGAGAUCACGGUGGAACACAAGAUUUAAUGGGUACUGCAGUUGGUGAAGCAAGCAUCACUGUGCAGCCACAGGGUAUUUGUGGGAGGAUUCACAACGAGCAGCGAGGGCCUCUAGCAAGCAAGGCUGGGAGAAUUCGAAUCCAGGGAGGAAAGGAGAUUUACUUUGUUCCUGAAGAAACUAUUAAUAGGACAACAAGAAUGAAAGCUCCAAUAGAGCAGUGGACAGUGGUGGGACAGCUGAUCCGCGUGCACAGAGCAGGUAGUCAGAAGCCCCCUGAGUGCAGCUGAACAGCUGGGUCCUCCAACUAAUAUUCUCUCCCUUCCCCUUCUGAUCCUUCCUUAUUUUGCGUCUCUUGUUCUGAUUGCUUUCUACAUGCCCUUUCUCUUUUCUUUUACUUUCUCCCCUCAUCUCUCUUCACUAAAGCAACCGAGCAAGGCUUUCAGGACAAGGGUUAAUAUUUGACAGAAUGAAACUUCCCGAUAAUUUGACAAGGGAUGCCUAACCAGGAAGCUGAAGAGACAGCUGCACCCUUCUCUGCAAAGAGGAUCUUCUGAGCAAGCCCAGGCAAGAGCCCUCUGUUCUUGAUGACUAUCUGUUAUUUCCACUUGGGAGCCCAAAUUAAAGUUGCUUAUUUGCCUUAGAAGCAAAGUUCGGCCAGAGGCAGCCUGGGGUGCCCAGGUUGUCCGAGAAGAGCCAUUUGAGGGAAAUUGCAUUUCUGGAAUUGAAACCAAGGGAGGUGGAACUGCAGUCGACACAAGGCAAGGACUGAGAAGGAGGCCGGGAUGACAAUCCAGAACAAACCAGCCACAGCACUCCCACUUGGAGAAUAAUCAGUUUCCCCAGUGGUGUUAUAAAACCGGUUGCAAAAAACCAGUUCCUCUUGCUUUAGGUGGCAAGGAUCUUCCGAGUGCUGGUUACCCUCUCACAGCUUUUCAACCUGCUGCCAAAGAAAUUUCCAUCUGUAGUUAUUAAUCCACUGGUAUUGAGGAAAGUUCCUGAACUUUGAAAGCUUGUUUGGGCUGGUAUGAAAGAAAAUAAGCACUUUCCACCACAGCAGAGCCAAACUGUGCUUUCUAGAGGCUGUGGAAAAUUGUUUUCAUUAAACGCAAAUCAUUGCCCCCCAAACCAAUGUUCUUGGGGAUGAAAUUGUCUUUGGCUCCAUUAACUCUGAGAGGCUACAUUAGCCAGUUCUCUAACGGCACUCUGCUAUGGAAGGUUCUAGAAAAUGAAUAGAAAGUGAAUCACUUUCCACUCGCACCCCCAGUACCAACCCCUCACCCCAGCAGCAGCUUACCCCUUAUCAGUUGGAAAGGGGGUGGGGUGGGGGAUGUAGCAUGACUGUGCUUAUACUAUGAAGAUGCUGGGGUGGGGUUGGGGGGACAGCAAUUAAAUGCUGCAACUGGGGUGUUAGUCACAGUGGGUGGGACUCUCCCUGUCAUCCUGCAGAAGCAGAGCCAGAGAAGCUGAUGAUAGCUGAAGAGAGGGAGGGCCCCCCGCGCAACCUCUCUCUUUUCCCAGCAACAGCUGCUUCAUAAGCAGCACUUAGCAUAUGUACAAGGUCGUAAAAGAGGUGAGAAACAGGGAAACAGUAUUUUGACACAAACUUGUCCAGAGAGGAUCUCUUAUAGGAAGAACAUCUCUGGCCUAUAGCAGAAUUGAAACUAAAUUAAAAAAAUUUUUUUUUUUCUUCUUUGAGAAAGACUGGAAAAUUCUUUGCUUCCUCCAGGGAAACAAAUCUUUACUUGAGGUGGCACCUGAAAUUUCACCAUUAAUGAUAUAGUCCUUUGUGUAUUGCAGGCAACCUGGCAUCUAAGAGACCUAUAUAAAAAUGCAGAUACGUCAUAUAAGGCCAGCCAGCGAUUCUCACUGGAAUCAGAAUCCUUCAGAAGACCUUUACAUGCAGACUGCUGGCAUACACACACAUACUCCAUCCCCUGAGCCCUACUACAACCGCGACCUUUAGUCACUAGGUGGGUCUCCAGUUCUCUGAUGUGUUAGUCAUCACAGGCUGAUAUAGCAAAAUACCAUGGACUGGGUGACUUAAACAACAAACAUUUAAUUCUAUAGUUCUGAAGGGUGGAAGUCCAAGAUCCAGGUGCCAGGAGCUUCGGCUUCUGGUGAGAGCCCUUUCUGGCUUUCAAAUGACCACCUUCUUGCUGUAUCCUCAUACAACCUUUCCUUGGUGCAUGCACGGGAAGAGAGCAGCAUCUCUCAGCCUUCCUCCUCCUGUAAAGACACUUUUCCCAUCAAGAAGGUCCCAUCCUCACGACCUCAUCUACACCUAAUUACAUCCCAAAGGCCCCAUGUCCAAAUACCAUCACACUGGGGUUAGGGCUGCAACAUACGAAUUUGAGGAGGGGACACAAACCUUCAGACCAUAACAUCUGGCUUCUGACAGGACCUUGGCGUAGUUAACUUUAGAUCUUACUUUCGCAGGUUAGAAAUUGAUUUCCACUGUGGAUGAUGAUUUGAUUGCCUCAAUCAGAACUGACCCUCUAUAGUUAAGGAAGAAAUCAAUGGAAAAUUGGAAAUAGUUUUUUUUUUUUUAAUUUUGACACUUCAAAGGGGACUAUAUAGAAGAGUCAACACUGUCACUUUCCUCCCCUGAAUCCACGGCCCCCUCCAGUAUCCUAUCUCUUUCUUUUCUCCCUACGUUCUCUAUUGGUACAUUCCCUUUCUUCUCCUCCUCUUUAAGAAGGAAACAUAUUAGGAAUGUGGGUUGUGUUUGUGUUACCCUUGCUUAAUCAUUUCGUACUUUCUUUACAUAACAUGGGCUUAAUAUUUUACUUCGGGAUGUGGUUAUUUCAGUGUGUUGACCUUCUUUACUUGAUGCAUCAGUGGCUGUGAUGGGAAAAAAGGUCCUUACACCUGUCUCAUGACCUUAAGAGUGGAGGAAUCAUUCAUCAGGUGCUGAGGCCACAGGACCACUUAGAAAGUGUGAGAGGGGAGUAGGGGGUGAGCUGGGAGUUUGAAAAAACAAGACCAAGGACAAGAUUUCCCUACCUCCCAGAUUUGCAAAGAACAAGCUUCUGUUAUGCUAAAGUCAGUCCUAGUCAAUAAUCUACUGUGGGGAAGCAGCAACCAAAGAUCCCACGGGUUGCUCUGACUUGUACCUUACCUAAGAUUUCUCUUGAGUGGGUAUGUACAUGGAGCCCAGAGACACUCCAUAGGGUUGGGACAACACAACGUGCCUCUCCUACCUGUUGGCCUCCUUUUCCCCAUCUCAUUACAUAUAGGGGAAAUCAGAUUGAAAUUAACACCGAGGACCCCACAAAAGUUAAAGCAGAAACUAUAGGGUCGUGUAGGCAGAGUAUGUGGACAGAAGAAGGCGGAAAGCCAUUCCAGUUUCUCCUGGUGUUUAGGAGUACCUUGGAUGAUUAAGUUACUUUAUUUUCAAGGCUUCACUGGCCAAGCCCUCUUCUCCUCUAUGUGGGGGUGCUGCCAUGAACUAUCCAACAUGCUGCCUGUCGCACCCCUCCCAGCUCCACUCAGCAGCUCAGCCCCCUAUUCUGUGGAGAAGGUGCAGUGCAGAAUGAGAGAACUGCCUGGCCACUCAGCUGCCUAGACCAACAAGGCUCUUGUGUGCUGGUCCCAGACCAUUUCCGGAGACCAACAUAUGACAGAGCCACAACCUCCGGCCCCUCUGUCAGCUAUCUGCAGUUCCUCCUUUUUCUUUUCUUCUCCUAACCUCAUAAACAACGAUCGUUGAAGGUCCCACUAUCUACAGAUUCUGAGCCAAGAUUGGCUUUGGUUAAGAGGAAAUUCUCCGUUUUCUACAACAGUGGACAAAGGGUUUUAUUUUAUGAGUAGGAACUUUGCUUUCUCUAAUAUGGAUUAUUUAAUGUAUUUUUACUGUUCCUGCUUUUGUUCUCUAUAAUUAUAGUUCAUAGCAAAAUUGAUGUUACCCAAGAAAUAGACAAGGAACUUCUUGGUAAAGGAAGUAACCGAGGAGUUGAAAGCAGAGGCCCAAAAAGUAGUUCAGUUCUGCAUUCGAUUCCUUCCCUCAUUUGUAUGACCUCCCCGUCUAGAAAAAAAGAACAAUAGGAACAACAAAAUCAACAAAUUGUGUAACUCUGUUUCCCAACUUUCCUAAGAACAUUCAUGUUCCCUGUGCCACCCUUAUGACACACACAAUUCUUCACGGGAAACGUAAGCAAACAUAGAAAUCUGUUGUUACAAGCAGGUAGCUGUAGGCAUCUGCUGUCACCUCCCAAAGACAGGAAGAGCCCUCCUUUUUUUUGUUUUUUGUUUUUUUUGCUCAGGAAGAUUCACCCUGAGCUAACACGCAUUAUCAAUCUUCCUCUUUUUUUUGCUUGAGGAAGAUUAGCCCUGAGCUCACAUCUGUGCCAAUCCUCCUCUACUGUUUUAUAUGUGUGACACCUACACAGCAUCGUUGGUAACUGGAGUAGGUCUGUGCCCAGGAUCUGAACCCAUGAACCCAGGCUGCUGAAGCAGAGCAUGUGGAACUUUAACCAUCUGUCCACGGGGCCAGGCCCAGGAAGAGCUCUCUUUUGUCUAAAUGGCAGGUCCUAACCCUUCCCACUUUCUCCUCAGUAAGUUAAUGUCUAAAGGUGGUAUUUGGAAACAGUGGAGGAAAAGAUGGAUGAUCCAAUACAUGAUAUUGAGGCACCCAUAUAACCAUGUGGAAAAAAAUGCAUAUGAAGCAAAGAUUUAAACGUAAAAAUGAAAACAUAAAAGUACUAGGGGAGGGCUGGCCCAAUGGCGAAGCAGCUAUGUUCGCACGUUCCGCUUUGGCGGCCCGGGCUUCACUGGUUUGGAUCCUGGUUGCGGACAUGGCACCACUUGGCAAGCCAUGCUGUGGUAGGCAUCCCACAUAUAAAGCAGAGGAAGAUGGGCACAGAUGUUAGCUCAGGGCCAGCCUUCCUCAGCAAAAAGAGGAGGAUUGACAGCAGAUGUUAGCUCAGGGCUAAUCUUCCUUGAAAAAAAAAAGGUUUUUAAACGUGCUAGGGGAAAAGAAUAGGUUAAAAUUUUUAAUAGAUUUUUUAAGUAGUUUUUGGAGUGAGGAAGUACUACGUAAAACCAAGAAGUCAUAAAAGAUACAACUGUGUAAAACUGGCAGAUUCAUCUAUACAAAAAAUUCUCAUAAAUGCAUGGGAAAAAACACCAAAAACAAAGCCAAAAGACAAAUGACAAAUGGGAGAAAGUGUUUGCACACUUACCACAAAAGAAUCAUUUCCUUCAGACAAAAAGAUCUCAUAAAAUUUAAUAAGAAAAAUACCAAAAACCCAAUAGAAGAAAUAGAAACAGAUUACAAGCAGACAGUUUACAAAAAAAGAUAUGGAAAUGGCUCGAAGUCAUAUAAAAAGAUGUUCAGCCUCUCUCAAAAUAAAAGGAAAGGAAAUUGAAAUUACACUGACAUAUCGUUUUUUUCCUAUCAGACAAAGAGCAAAAAGUUUGAUAACAUACUUUCUGGGCAGGGCUAUGAGGAAACAAGCUUGCUACCCAUUGCUAAUGAGAGUAUAAAUUGGUACAAUCUCAACAGAAGAGAAUCUAACAUCAUUCAACACCAUUCGACCUUUGACUAGCAAUUCUACUUGUAGGAAUUGAUCCUACAGAUAUAUCCACACAUAUGCAAAACGAAGUAUGUUCAAGGUCAUUCACAACAGCUGUCUACGUGUAAAUGGAUUACCAAGCAGCGGUAAAAGAUGAGGCCUAGAACUACUGCAGCCAUCUUGUCAAGCAGCCAGAGCACGGAGCCGUCAAAGGAGGGAGGGCCACGCAGACAGCCAGAGCCAAAGCACCGCACCCUAUUUCUGGUUUUCCUGCACUGUAAACAAUAAAUUC
ensembl:lncRNA